rnacentral:lncRNA from 1 species
GUGUGUUUCUUGUCAUGGAAAGGGUUACAAAGGCUGCCUCAUGUGUAACGGUUACAGAAAGCUUGUGUAUUCCAUGCAGCUCACAGUUACAUGGAAGAACCAGGUGUUUGUGUUUAUACCCAACCGGGUGCCUGGAUUCCCUCUGAAGAAGUUCGAGAAGGUGUCUGGGGAAGCGUUCUUUGUAGAUGAUAAUCUCUCCUGGUAUACAUCGAUUCAUUCAUUCUGCUGUGAGCCGCAUCCUAAAGCAAGUGAGCAGAAACUGAACCAGCAGUCUGCUGCCAAAUGCACAGCAAAAUUAUGGUGUCAAACAAUUGCGCUGGUGCCGCUCACUCAUGUAUUUUACGCUUACAGUGGAGAAGACUACGAGAAAACAAAGUUCACACCACCAAAUACCCUUCUUCUUGCAGCAUUUUGUAAAAACUGAAUUUGUUUUGUGUCUUAACCAUUCUUGAAAUUAUUCAUAAUUAACAUAAAGAUGUAAAUACAAUACAGUGUGUAUUUAUCACUAAUGUAUAAAGGUCUAUGAAAACAAGGCUCCUUUCUCCUCAUUCUCUCAUAUAAGCAUAUAACAGCAUGUUAUGAACUACUGUUUUAUUAUCAUUACUUCAUUCUGUUUAUUAAAGAUUAGUAUUAAAAUUAAUUUGAGUACAGUUUAUUUUUGGUCAAUUUGUGCCAUAAAGGUGCAGUUGAUUUGCUGCACAUUUACAAAUUUUCUUGAUAAAUUUCUAUAUAUUUUGAUGAUUGUAUUUUGAUAACUUGAAAGGACUUAUGUGAAUGUCUUUAUACCUCAAGGUUUUGGCAACUAAAAACAUUAUUUUCCAGGAAAAAUAUACAGUUCCUUUUUACACGUUAAUCCUAACUUACUGUGUAUCACAGCGGGAACCUGCUGUUUACUGACACUGAUUUGAGAAGGACCCUUUUGAAAUCUAAAGUUAAUAAAACUGCAAAACUCCUAAAAUUGCAACAAUGAAAAAUAUAAUUAUAAACAAUAUAACAAUUAUAAAGUCCAAUUAAAAAAGUGACAAAAUGUGACAGUUUACCCAAUCAUGUCAUGAAAAAAAAAAGAUAUAUAUAUAUAUAAAUGCAAGCCAGUUUGAUUUUAUUGUGCUCAACUUAAAAAAAAAAAAAAUNUAUAUAUGUUAAUAAUUAUUAAUAAAAUGACGAACGACCUAGGUUAGUUAUUUUAAUUGUGUCACUAACUUAAAAAAAAAAAAUAUAUAUAUAUAUAUAUUUAAACACUUGUGUAAUUAAAAAGUCUUAAUUCUCUUAAAUCCGAGCAGGAAGUCUUAAAUUCAUAAAGACAUUAAAUGUUGCAUGCACUGCAAAUAAUUCAUAUCUUCUGUAGUGUUAUUUUCUUGUUUUCCAAUAUAAAUAUCUAAACAUCCUUAAAACUAAAAUUUGAGAUUUUUUAUUUUAUUUGUUUCCCAUUGACAAAAUAAAGACAUGUAGUCUUGUUUUCUGAGAAAGUGAUCAAAAUUAAGUGAGUUUAUACCUAAAACAAGAAAGAAAGAAAAAAUGCUCACUGUGGAAUGAUAACUAUUUUUUCCUUUAAAUGUAGUUUUCUGAGCCUAGUAGAUUUUUUUUAUUUCUUGUUUUAACCAUAAACUUACUUCAUUUUGAUCUGUUUCUCAGAAAAUUAAAUGUAUUUAUCCCAAAAAAAAAAGAAAAAAAAUUAGAGGCUGAGGCUGAACAUCGCUUUUUUUUUUUGCAGUGUGAUCAGAAUAUAAAUGUUAUUUCCAUAUUCUAGUGGUUGGAAGCAGAGAUAUUGAGGCCUUUUUGUAAAUGAAUGAAAACAUAGUGAGGAUUGUAAAACUCUUAAGUGUUGCUAAUAGUUUAUCUAUUGUGUUCUCUCUAGAGAUCAAAUACUGACGCAGACCUGUGUCUAAGAGUUUCUAAACCAUGGUUUGUUUACAGUAAAAGUGGAGUAAACAUGUUUUCUGGCGUACUGAUUACCAGUUGUAUCACCACAGUUUUACAACAAAUCCCAGGGUUAGUAUGGUUAGUGUAGCAAAACCACGGUUCAUUUUCGUAAGGGUGGCGAUCGAUGCAGCUGACGUGUUUAUUCAAUUUAUUCCUUACAUCUUGCUCACUUGGUCUUAAAAAUGUCUUACAUUUACCUUCAUAAAACCUCAGAGAUCCUGUAAUUAUAAUGCACACGCGACAACUAGACCCUAUAUAGUAAAAUAAUGUCAGUCGACCGCUUAACUUUCGGCUUCGAAGAGGCACACCUGCCCAAGCCUCACUCACAGAGCGGGUCAUCAUAACACUGGACGGGUGUGACAGGAGUGAAGCGGGAUUUGGGGAGUGGAGGAGUGGCUCUCGGAGAAUUUGUUUAUAGUGAAGGAGGCGCGGACAACACACGCGACUCGCUGCGCAUCUUCACGCGACUCACCUCACUGACAUUACCAUAGACACUGGAAUACAACCAGCAGCGACGAGGAAAACCACGCGGAAAUAACACUCGGUAGGCUUUCAGUUGUUUGUGGUUAUUCUGUCAACUUGAAAUAACCAUUUAGCGUUACAGUACAGUGAUGUAAGAUGACAAUACCAUGGUAUUUUGAUAUAGCUUCUAAUAACGCAUUCAAAAGCCAUAAUAUGAUAGAUAUAAGCUAGUAGUUCUUCAAAAAAAUACCAUGUUUCACAUAGGCAACCUUUUUUCUACAUUUUAAUGGAAAAGUGUUUGUUAUAUGUUUACAUUAUAUGAGAAAUAGCCUUAUGUUGAUUUUUACAGGUGUAAUCGUUUGUUAACACGUUAAAAAUUUUGUAAAAGUUUGUUUUAUAGGAAAAUACAUUGCAUUUCUUCUUUACCUGGGUGUUUCUGAGACCCCUAAUUGAAGUAGCCUAUCUAUUAAACAUGUAAAAACUAUUAACAGAAGACUUUUGAUUUUAACAUUUGACAUUUGUCAGUUUAAACGUCAUAAAGUUACUUGUUGUAUUUAAGUGUUAGGCAUGUGGGUCUCCAAUGGUCUUUUUUUAUGAAGUACAGUAUACUACAGAAUAGCCUGACACAACCUCACUCUUGUGGACAGGACAGGACGUACAUUGCAUUUAUUUCAAUGUUUGGACGUCAGAGAUGGUCAUUGUCCUCCUGAUUCUUUCCUUUUCCUGUUUGCUGGUGUACACAUUGUUACUCUGAUUUGUUUGUUUGCAUCCUUCACAUGCUGUACAUUUAUUCCCAUGCAUAGAAAUAGUCUAAAAUCAUUUCA